rnacentral:rRNA from 1 species
AAUCAACGCUGGCGGCGUGCCUCAGACAUGCAAGUCGAACGAUUAAAGCUCCCUUCGGGGAGUGCAUAAAGUGGCGCACGGGUGAGUAACACGUAAGUAAUCUACCUUCGAGUGGGGAAUAACGUUCGGAACGAACGCUAAUACCGCAUAAUGCAGCGGCAUCUAUGAUGACAGUUGUUAAAGAUUUAUCGCUUGAAGAGGAGCUUGCGGCAGAUUAGCAGUUGGUAAGGUAAUGGCUUACCAAGGCUACGAUCUGUAUCCGGUCUAAGAGGACGGUCGGACACACUGACACUGAAUAACGGGUCAGACUCCUACGGGAGGCAGCAGUCGGG